rnacentral:rRNA from 1 species
GAUGAACGCUGGCGGCGUGCCUAAUACAUGCAAGUCGAGCGAAUGGAUUAAGAGCUUGCUCUUAUGAAGUUAGCGGCGGACGGGUGAGUAACACGUGGGUAACCUGCCCAUAAGACUGGGAUAACUCCGGGAAACCGGGGCUAAUACCGGAUAACAUUUUGAACCGCAUGGUUCGAAAUUGAAAGGCGGCUUCGGCUGUCACUUAUGGAUGGACCCGCGUCGCAUUAGCUAGUUGGUGAGGUAACGGGUCACCAAGGCAACGAUGCGUAGCCGACCUGCGAGGGUGAUCGGCCACACUGGGACUGAGACACGGCCCAGACUCCUACGGGAGGCAGCAGUAGGGAAUCUUCCGCAAUGGACGAAAGUCUGACGGAGCAACGCCGCGUGAGUGAUGAAGGCUUUCGGGUCGUAAAGCUCUGUUGUUAGGGAAGAACAAGUGCUAGUUGAAUAAGCUGGCACCUUGACGGUACCUAACCAGAAAGCCACGGCUAACUACGUGCCAGCCGCCGCAGUAA